AGAGUUUGAUCCUGGCUCAGGAUGAACGCUAGCUACAGGCUUAACACAUGCAAGUCGAGGGGCAGCAUGGUCUUAGCUUGCUAAGGCCGAUGGCGACCGGCGCACGGGUGAGUAACACGUAUCCAACCUGCCGUCUACUCUUGGACAGCCUUCUGAAAGGAAGAUUAAUACAAGAUGGCAUCAUGAGUCCGCAUGUCCACAUAAUUAAAGGUGUUCCGGUAGACGAUGGGGAUGCGUUCCAUUAGAUAGUAGGCGGGGUAACGGCCCACCUAGUCUUCGAUGGAUAGGGGUUCUGAGAGGAAGGUCCCCCACAUUGGAACUGAGACACGGUCCAAACUCCUACGGGAGGCAGCAGUGAGGAAUAUUGGUCAAUGGGCGCAGGCCUGAACCAGCCAAGUAGCGUGAAGGAUGACUGCCCUAUGGGUUGUAAACUUCUUUUAUAAAGGAAUAAAGUCGGGUAUGUAUACCCGUUUGCAUGUACUUUAUGAAUAAGGAUCGGCUAACUACGUGCCAGCAGCCGCGGUAAUACGUAGGUGGCGAGCGUUAUCCGGAAUGAUUGGGCGUAAAGGGUGCGUAGGUGGCAGAUCAAGUCUGGAGUAAAAGGUAUGGGCUCAACCCGUACUUGCUCUGGAAACUGGUCAGCUAGAGAACAGAAGAGGACGGCGGAACUCCAUGUGUAGCGGUAAAAUGCGUAGAUAUAUGGAAGAACACCGGUGGCGAAGGCGGCCGUCUGGUCUGGAUUCUGACACUGAAGCACGAAAGCGUGGGGAGCAAAUAGGAUUAGAUACCCUAGUAGUCCACGCCGUAAACGAUGAGAACUAGGUGUUGGGGGAAUAACUCAGUGCCGCAGUUAACGCAAUAAGUUCUCCGCCUGGGGAGUAUGCACGCAAGUGUGAAACUCAAAGGAAUUGACGGGGGCCCGCACAAGCAGUGGAGUAUGUGGUUUAAUUCGACGCAACGCGAAGAACCUUACCAAGUCUUGACAUCCUGCGACGAUGCUAGAAGUAGUAUUUUCCUUCGGGACGCAGAGACAGGUGGUGCAUGGUUGUCGUCAGCUCGUGUCGUGAGAUGUUGGGUUAAGUCCCGCAACGAGCGCAACCCUUAUCUUUAGUAGCCAGCGGUUUGGCCGGGCACUCUAGAGAGACUGCCAGGGAUAACCUGGAGGAAGGUGGGGAUGACGUCAAAUCAUCAUGCCCCUUAUGAGCAGGGCUACACACGUGCUACAAUGGCGUAAACAAAGGGAAGCAAACCCGCGAGGGUAAGCAAAUCUCAAAAAUAACGUCUCAGUUCGGAUUGUAGUCUGCAACUCGACUACAUGAAGCUGGAAUCGCCAGUAAUCGCGAAUCAGCAUGUCGCGGUGAA
rnacentral:rRNA from 1 species